UCUCUCUUGUUAUGUGUAUAUUAUUCCCCUCUCUCUAUCUGUCUCUUGUCUGUUUCUGUCUUCUUUUGUCGAUUGUCUUUUAGAUAUUUGGAGGCCUGGAGAAAUCCUUACUUAAUAAGAGGAGUGCCCAAGAACCAAGCAGAAUUGCAACAGGGUCGAACUACACUUGGAAAACCUCCCAUGGUUCACUUCCAUACUGCAGU
rnacentral:ribozyme from 1 species